UGAGAAGUUGGAUUUUGUGUGUGCCCUGGACGCCAUGAACAAUUCGAACGUCAACACCACUGUUGCUGAGUUGCUACAGCGAGCAGCCCAGAUGAUAAGCGAUGGGAAUACACACAGCACACCAUCGACGAACAUCCCGGUGGCGGGCCCAUCUAGCUCAGUUGUCGACGAGCACCGCAGGUUGUUCAAUCGACAACUGAGGGUCCACCCU